rnacentral:lncRNA from 1 species
GCCUGAUGGAGGUUGCUGAAAUGGAUUUGGAUCUUCACAAACACAGUACAACUUCAUUUUAUUCUCCAAAUAAAAGACUGCUGAAGCUUCUGAGAAAAAGAAAAAAGCGAAGGAUCAUCUUUGAUCAUGCAGUGAGCUGAUUCCAAAAUGUGGACAAAAAGCAGACUCAAAGGCAAUGAUUCCGAGAAACAGUGAAUGUCACAAGGAGACACCUGGGCUCUUUAUAAAGAGGUCUCUCUCAGCCUCCCUGCGCUUAGGGACAGUGGACAGCACUGCAGCACUGCAGCACUGCACUUGGGGCCAUUUUAAACAGCGAAGUCACCAAAACCACGCAAAAAAAUGCUAAAAGCACAGUACUAAACAGACCAUGGAAAAGACAUAUGUACAGUAUGAGAAGUGCACCAGCCUUCCUGUGCCCGUUGAUGGACUGAGAGGAAGAUGAGCCCUUAGGAUGCCUGCCAUGCUCAGUGUUAAGGGUUUUCAAAAGAAAUGCAGGCAGCAUGGUGCACUACAGACUCCAGCCUCCCUUUGAAGCCAGGUUCCAGAGCUUCCUCCCUUUGGCCUGGAACCUCAACAGCAGGAUUGGGAUGAGGAUGGAAGUGUACAGAUAUGCAUAUAGUAUUGCUUAUCCCCAGCUGAAAUCAAUGUUGGCAUGACAUGUUGCAAAACCAAACUGACAUUGAACAUGACUUUUUUCAGCCCUUUAAAUAGCUGUUCAUGUAGAACUUAGUUUUUUAUGGAAGACCUUGAUAAUCCUGUCUUUAGUUACUUUAGAAGUUAACUUCCUGGGUGGACUUGAAUUGAGUCUUAUUCAUCUUUAAAUUUCCAGGGUUUAGCAAAGUACCUGCUUCAGAGUAGGUGUUAAUAAAGCUAAUGCCCUUCAAAUCAACAAGAGGAUUUCCUGUGAGGGGUGGUCCUGUUUUCUGACACUCAGAUGGCUCUGAGUGUGGCAUCUCAGAAAAAAGAAAGAAAGAAAAAAAAAAAGAUUGGGCUGGGCGCGGUGGCUCACGCCUGUAAUCCCAGCACUUUGGGAGGCUGAGGCAGGUGGAUCACAAGGUCAGGAGAUCGAGACCAUCCUGGCUAACACAGUGAAACCCUGUCUCUACUAAAAAUAAAAAAAAUUUAUCCUGGCAUUGUGGCGUACGCUUGUAGUUCCAGCUACUUGGGAGGCUGAGGCAGGAGAAUGGUGUGAACCUGGGAGACGGAGCUUGCAGUGAGCCGAGAUCACACCACUGCACUCCAGCCUGGGCAACAGAGUGAGACUCCAUCUCAAAAAAAAAAAAAAAAAGCCGGGCACGGUAGCUCACGCCUGUAAUCCCAGCACUUUGGGAGGCCGAGGAGGGCGGAUCACGAGGUCAGGAGAUCAAGACCAUCCUGGCUAACGCGGUGAAACCCCGUCUCUACUAAAAAUACAAAA